AAAACUUGGACUCAAAUUAUUUUUAUUUAACAAAAACCUUAACCCUAAAAUCCUGACUAGAGUUCAUAACAGCAGAGCCUACACGUGAAUUAUGACUCAUUUUUAGCUGUUCAUUCACACUAAUGCAUUAUAUACCAUUACCAACAGACAUACACCUACAGUAUAUCUGUAUUUGUAAUAAACAAUAAUUAUUUUUAAAAAUUAUAUUAUAAUAUUAAUAAUUUCCUUCUAGGAACCUUCCUUUUUUUUCCUUCUCCUCUUCUUAUAUAUUUCCUCUUCACAGUCUCUUCUCUAUUCACUUUUGAACCAAAAAAUCUCUCUUUCUUCCUUUGUAAAAUCACAAAAGAGAAACAAAGCCUUGCAAAAAUGGCCUCUUAUUUCAAAGUUAUGCUUUUCUUAGCCUUUUUUGCUGCUUCAUGUUUAGCUCAAUCUCCAGUUCCUGCACCUAAAAUUUCUCCGGCGGCAACACCUACUCCGGUGCCGGCGCCAGCACUGUCUCCGCCGACAGCAAUCCCAUCUCCGGCACCAACAACUUCACCAACUCCAUCACCAUCUGCUUCUACAACUUCCCCAUCACCAGCUCCGGCCGGUGGUCUCGCCGGUUCUCCUCCCGCGCCUACUCCGGCUGGUGGAUCCGGUGCUUCACCGGCGGAACAGCCCUCCGCCGACAACACACCGCCACCAAACGCCGCUAACAGGGCCGUCAUUGGCGGUGCUGCAUUUGCUGGUGUACUCAUUGCUGCUGCUUUCAUGUAGAGCUGCCACGUGUCAUCACACGUGUCUUGACGGACCGAGAUUUGUUUUGUAUCUUUGUUGGGGUUGAGUAGUACUUAUCUCUUCUUUCUUUUUUUGUCUUUUAUUUUGUUUAUUUUACUUUAUAUUUUUGUCAUUUAUUUGUUUGGUACAUUGUGGUGUUUUUAUUUCUUUUUUCAUUUUUUGUUAGGGUG
rnacentral:lncRNA from 1 species